rnacentral:lncRNA from 1 species
GGCAAAAGUGGGAGGGAGUGAAGUGGAGAUGAUAAAAAGGUGGAAGGUGGUAAGGGUGAGUAAGAGAGGAGAGUAAUGAGAUUGAGACAUCUUGAUGAUAGGGGUGGAAGGAAUUAGGGAGUCAUAUAUAGAGGGGAGGAUAUUAAUAGAUAUGCCCAGUUGAGGGUGGUGAGAUUGUUGAUGGUGAUUAAGUUGUGAAAAUGUAAGUAUUAAAAAAAAUACUGUUUUCAAACAGCUUAAGUUUACGAAAAAUAUUGAAAUGCACGUAGGUGGAACAAUCUGGUCUUAUCAUAUUUAACCCUCCAAAAUCAGCAUUUCAUGCAUGAUAAUAUAGGGGAUAUAUCUUGUAUUGGAUGGAAAGAGCUAAAUUAACUAUACAACUAUAUAUAUAUAUAUAUAUAUAUAUAAAGAAAAACGAAAGUCAAGAGUAAUGCAUGUGCACAAUUUGUAGCUUUUAAUCCCCAAGUCAUUGACAUCUAUUAGGGCGGAAACUUGAGUACAGAAUAUGGGCCUAAUUUAAUAAUAUAGUGGUUAAAAGCAUAAUUAGACAGUCUACAAAAUUUAAAAGUACUUAUAAAUUUUUUAUACUAUAAAAUUACAGUUACAAUCGUUGGUGGCGAUUCCAACCGUAAUUUUAAAAUGCUAGAAGAGAGAAAAACUUGUGAUCGAUUUAAAAUUUUUUAUAGUAUAAAAAUAAUAGUUUUAACCACUAUAUUAUCAAAUAAGGUCAGAAGAGUUUAUAUUUUGUUUUUUUUAAGAGGAAAAGAUAAUACGCAACCUGCUUCGCUUAUUUUUUAAAAAAUAAACUUAGCUGAAAAUGAGAAUCAAUUAUAAUUCGAACUAGAGAUCUCAGAUACUAAUCAUUAAAUUUUUNCCGGUAGGGCGGGGUGGAUCGCAUUGUUGGUCGAACAAGAGGAGACGACAGACGGGCCGGAGAGAAUGACGGUAGGGUUUUUCCCGUCGGUGACGAAGAUCGUGAUCGGGGUCAAGGUUAGGGUUAAGUAGUCCCCGUAGGGACAUUUGUCGGUCGUGGGGGCCGACCGAUACGCGGUGCACGUGCAGGGGUAGUGCCCAGCGUCACCGCCGCCCCCCGAGAGGCGAGUGCAUUGACAGGGGCCGGCGGCGGCGCAUUGCAGGGAGCUGCAAAGUGUGGUUGGAUGGUUGGAAGGACAAGAAGACCAUAAGGUGGGGGUGGUGAGGUCUAUGACAUAUUGGCUAUUGAAGUUUAGAGUGAGAGUGUAGAGAGAGGAGGGGGAGUGUUUGUGUAUGGGGGCUACAAGGGUAUUUAUGGGAAUGGCAUGGGCAAAAGUGGGAGGGAGUGAAGUGGAGAUGAUAAAAAGGAGGAAGGUGGUAAGGGUGAGUAAGAGAGGAGAGUAAUGAGAUUGAGACAUCUUGAUGAUAAGGGUGGGAGGAAUUAGGGAGUCAUAUAUAGAGGGGAGAAUAUUAAUAUUUAUGCCUAGAUGAGGGUGGUGAGAUUGUUGAUGGUGAUUAAGUUGUGAAAAUGUAAAUAUUAAAAGAAUUACUGUUUUCGAACAGCUUAAGUUUACGAAAAAUAUUGAAAGGUACGUAGGUGGAACAAUCUGGUCU